AGUGAAGAAAUGAAUAGAGAACAACAUUAUGAAGAUAUAAAAGAUUUAUUUAAAGAAGAAAAUAUUAAAGAUUUUUAUGUGCAAGAAUCAGGAAGGAGACGUGCUGACAAGUGUAAUAGAAGUACAACACAAUAUUGACACGAACACUGAUAGACCGAUAUAUACGAAGUUAUAUCGAUACCCCGAAAUACAUAAAAAUGAAAUUAAAAACCAAAUUACGGAAAUGGAAAAAAUGGAAUAAUAAGGAAAAGCUGUUCGCCUUACAAUGCACCCUUAUGGAUCGUUCCAAAGAAAAUGGAUAAUUCAGGAAUGCGAAAAUGGAGAAUACUUGUUGACUAUCGCAAAUUAAGUGAAAUCACGAUUGAAGACAAGUUUCCUAUACCUAAUAUCGAAAGUAUUUUUGAUAAGUUAGGAAUAGCUCAAUAUUUCACAACGUUGGAUUUGGCUAAAGGAUUUCAUCAGAUUUUAGUAAACCCGAAGGAUAGACAUAAAACCGCAUUUUCAACAGAAUACGGACAUUAUGAAUACGUUCGAAUGCCAUUUGGAUUAAAAAACGCACCAGCAACUUUUCAACGCAUGAUGAACCAUGUCCUACAACCAUUCAUAAACAAUAUUUGUGUAGUUUAUCUCGAUGACAUACUAAUUUUCAGUACAAGUCUUCAGGAACACGUAAGUUCAGUUCAAAAAAUAUUCAACAAACUAAGAGAAUAUAAUUUAAAAAUUCAGAUUGAUAAAUGUUCAUUUUUUAAAAAAGAAACAGAUUUUUUAGGUCACAUCAUCUCGAACGAAGGACUAAAACCAAACCCGAAGAAAAUUGAAGUGAUAGAAAAAAUUAAACUACCUAAUACUGUCAAGGAAAUCAAAUCAUUCUUGGGAAUAACAGGAUAUUACAGGAAGUUUAUAAAAGAUUAUAGUCGCAUUGCAUAUUCUAUGGUAAAGUAUUUAAAGAAAGAUAAGAAAAUUGAUACAAAUGGCAUAAAAUAUAUUAAUGCUUUUGAAAAAUUAAAGCAACUUCUCAUUGAUUAUCCAAUUUUAAAAUACCCAAAUUUCGAAAAACAAUUUGUCUUAACGACCGAUGCAAGUACAUUCGCAAUUGGUGCUGUACUUUCACAAGACGGGCAUCCCAUUUGUUACGCAAGUAGAACACUUUGUGACAGUGAAAAAAAUUAUUCAACAAUAGAAAAGGACUCUUAGCAAUAGUAUGGGCAUGUAAAUAUUUUCGGCCGUAUUUAUAUGGCAAACGUUUUAAAUUACAAACAGACCACAAACCAUUAAUAUGGUUAAACAACUUAAAACAGGAAAAUAGCAAAUUUACCAGAUGGAAAUUAGCUCUUAACGAGUAUUUAUUUGAUAUUGAAUAUAUACUUAUGUAAAAGGAAAAGAGAACAACGUUGCAGAUUUUCUAAGCAGACUUCAAGUAAAUGCAUUGGACGAAGAUAUGGAUGUUGACGAAACAACUUGUGCAACUAUACAUAGCGCAAUGGAAGACACUGAUGAUCACAUCUGGAUAACAGAAAAACCUGUUAAUCUAUUUAAAACUCAAAUAAUAAUAACAUAAAACAAAGUAAAAGGAAAAGAUGUUAUUGACACAACAAUUUUCAAAAAUAGAUGAAUUUACAUUUAUGAAAAUAUGAUAAAUGAAAAUUUUGGGGAAAUCUUAAAGAAUUUAAAUUUAAAAAAUUUUACUGUAUAUUGUCCGAAUGAAAUGAAAUAUAUCCUAUUCCAAAGACACUUCAUAAAAAUAUUCGGAAAUUCGAAUAUAAAAGCACUUAAAAGUAAUAUACUUUUAGAUGAUAUUGAAGAUGAAGAAAAAGUCUUCGAAAUCAUAGAAAAGGAACAUUUAAGGCUCAACCAUCGCGGUAUAGACGAAAUUUUUAAACAAUUAAUGGACAAAAUAUAUAUUCCAAAAUUAAAACAAUUAAUUACAAGAUUUAUAAAUAAUUGCGAAAUAUGUCAAUCAGCAAAACAUGAUAGACCUGAAGAAAAAAUCAAAUUCGAGAAAACGGAAAUUCCAAAUUCUACAAACGAAAUAAAACACGAAGAUUUAUAUAUUGCGGAAAGACAAAUAUUUUUCACGUUUAUUGAUAAAUUUAGUUAACAUUUAUUUAUUGUACCGAUUACUGAUAGAAAUAGUCAAACGUUUAUUGAAACUUUAAAUUAUAGACAUUCAAUUUUUGGAAAACCAAAAAGAUACGUUUUUGAUAAUGAGUUUAAUAAUUCGUACAUGCGUGAAUAUUUUAAUAACGAAGAAAUGAACGUACACUUUACAUCACCAUUAGUUAAAACGGGUAAUAGUGAUGUAAAAAGAGUACACGGAACCAUAAAUGAACACUUGAGACUUUUAAAAUCACAAAAUAACAAAGAAACGAUUACAAAAAGAAUAGUAAAAUCAGUACAAUUUUAUAAUAAUAGUAUUCAUUCGACUACAAAUAAAAAACCAAUCGAUUUUAUUUCUAAUAAAAUAAUAAAAAUUGGAUGCAAUAGAGGAUUUUAAUAAGGUAUAUCAUAUUAUAGAUUUAGCAGACUAUGAAAGUAUAAUAACAAAACUAAAUAUCGCAAUAGAGAAAUUUAAUAACACAUUUCAAAAUAAUAAAUCAACAAACAAUUUAAUAUUCCCAUUAAAUAUAGCACGAAAUAAAUUAACUUCAAUCAAACCUUUAAAAAUUAGACAAAUAAGAGCAUUAGCAAACACCGUAGGAAAAGGAUUAAAUAUUUUAUAUGGUACAAUGGAUGAUGAUGAUAGACAGGAAUUAAGUGAACAUUUAAAAAUAAUUGAAGCAAAUGACCACAAAUUAAUAAAUGAACACAAUAAAAAAAUUAAGGUUAAUUUAGAACUACAACAAAAAAUUGAAAUACAUAAAGAGUAAUGUGCUAGAAAUAAAGACAAAUUUAAUAGUAAUAAUAAUGAUACCACAAUUUUGCAAGGAAGAAUAUUUUGAAAUUGAAAUUUUGCCAAUUCCAAACAAAUUUAAUAAAGAAAUAAAUAUUGAUAAACAAAGAUAUAUUACGAAUACAGGAAAAGUUUUUGAUUAUACAAAUGAAAUAAUUCUUAAAGAAAAAUUAAAUUUAAGUAAUAAAUGUAUUCAAAAUAUAUUUAAAGGAAAAUUCGAUUUUUGUACAAGUAGAACAAAUAAUGAAACAAUAAUUAAAGACAUUGAAAAAGGAAUUGUAUUUACAAAAAAAUUAUAAAAACCCAAAAUAAAACACAAUUGUAAUAAAAUGCGGUAUGAAAUUCAAGGAAAUUAUUUAAUUGAAUUUAAAAAUUGUUCUAUAGAUAUUGAUGAAAAUAUUUUUGAAAAUAUUGAUAAUAUAUUUUACAAUGUAAUUAUUUUACCAUUUUAUGAAGAAAUGAAUGUCACUUUAAAUAUAAAUAACUUGCAAGAAGUUCAUUUAAAAAAUAUAGAAAAUACAAAACAAAUUAAAGAAUUAAAAUAUAAUCACAAAACAAAUAUAAAUUAUUAUAUUUCACUAACAGUUAUAAUUACAGUUAUAUUAAUAAUAUUACUAACGAAAUAUUGUAUAAAAUAUAAGAAUUUUUGUAAAAGACUGCAAGAGGAACAAUCUUCGAAUCAAAAUAUUGAACUUCAGGAGCAGUUCAAGCCUAAGGAGAGGGGAGUUACACAUUCAGCCACCACAUCUACCACCACAUCAACCACCACAUCUAGCAUCAUACUUAACACACUACCAAUGAUCGGCACAAUAUCACCAACAACAACAGCAAACGCAAUUCAGCCAAUAUUUCAAACAACAAGUACUGGACAUUAGAGUUAUUAUACAUACAUACUUACGUAUAACAUAAUUCGACACCAAAUUUAUAAACAAA